rnacentral:pre_miRNA from 1 species
CGUCUCUGCCACUGGGAUACUCCUUGUGCUCGCUGUGUGUAUUUGAAGUUAAACUAGUGAACACAUCUGGUGGUAUCUCAGUGGCCGGGAUGAG